UCCGGCGUGGCAGAGCGGCAAUGCAGCUGUUUUGUAAACAGCCCCACGGGGGUUCAAAUCCCUCCGCCGGAU
rnacentral:tRNA from 1 species